UCACCAGACUCCUACGGGAGGCAGCAGUGGGGGAUAUUGCACAAUGGGGGAAACCCUGAUGCAGCGACGCCGCGUGUGGGAAGACGGUCCUCUGGAUUGUAAACCACUGUCCCCAGGGACGAAGAUGACGGUACCCGACUAAGAAGCCCCGGCUAACUACGUGCCAGCAGCCGCGGUAAUACGUAGGGGGCAAGCGUUAUCCGGAUUUACUGGGUGUAAAGGGAGCGUAGACGGCGAUGCAAGCCAGAUGUGAAAGCCCGGGGCUCAACCCCGGGACUGCAUUUGGAACUGUGUGGCUGGAGUGUCGGAGAGGCAGGCGGAAUUCCUAGUGUAGCGGUGAAAUGCGUAGAUAUUAGGAGGAACACCAGUGGCGAAGGCGGCCUGCUGGACGAUGACUGACGUUGAGGCUCGAAAGCGUGGGGAGCAAACAGGAUUAGAUACCCGAGUA
rnacentral:rRNA from 1 species